rnacentral:rRNA from 1 species
CAUCAUGCCCCUUAUGACCUGGGCUACACACGUGCUACAAUGGACGGUACAACGAGUUGCGAACUUGUGAAAGUAAGCGAAUCUCUAAAAACCGUUCUCAGUUCGGAUUGUAGGCUGCAACUCGCCUACAUGAAGCUGGAAUCGCUAGUAAUCGUGGAUCAGCAUGCCACGGUGAAUA